rnacentral:rRNA from 1 species
AGCAGCCGCGGUAAUUCCAGCUCCAAUAGCGUAUAUUAAAGUUGUUGCAGUUAAAAAGCUCGUAGUUGAAUUUCGGGAUUAGUACGCUGGUCAUGCCUUUGGUAUGUACUGGUGUUACUGGUUUCUACCUUCUGAAGAACCGUUAUGUCAUUUAUUUGGUGUGGCGGGAAAUCAGGACUGUUACUUUGAAAAAAUUAGAGUGUUUAAAGCAGGCUCGCGCUUGAAUACAUUAGCAUGGAAUAAUGAAAUAGGACGUUUGACCCUAUUUUGUUGGUUUCUAGGGUCGACGUAAUGAUUAAUAGGGAUAGUUGGGGGCAUUAGUAUUCAAUUGUCAGAGGUGAAAUUCUUGGAUUUAUUGAAGACUAACUACUGCGAAAGCAUUUGCCAAGGAUGUUUUCAUUAAUCAAGAACGAAAGUUAGGGGAUCGAAGACGAUCAGAUACCGUCGUAGUCUUAACCAUAAACUAUGCCGACUAGGGAUCGGAUGAUGUUAUUUUUAAUGACUCAUUCGGCGCCUUACG